AGCAGUCGCCGCGGUAAUACAGAGGGUGCGAGCGUUAAUCGGAUUUACUGGGCGUAAAGCGUGCGUAGGCGGCUUCUUAAGUCGGAUGUGAAAUCCCUGAGCUUAACUUAGGAAUUGCAUUCGAUACUGGGAAGCUAGAGUAUGGGAGAGGAUGGUAGAAUUCUAGGUGUAGCGGUGAAAUGCGUAGAGAUCUGGAGGAAUACCGAUGGCGAAGGCAGCCAUCUGGCCUAAUACUGACGCUGAGGUACGAAAGCAUGGGGAGCAAACAGGAUUAGAUACCCCAGUAGUCCCUGUCUCUUAUAC
rnacentral:rRNA from 1 species